rnacentral:rRNA from 1 species
CACGUAGGCGGCUCUUUAAGUCAGGGGUGAAAUCCUGGAGCUCAACUCCAGAACUGCCUUUGAUACUGAGGAGCUUGAGUCCGGGAGAGGUGAGUGGAACUGCGAGUGUAGAGGUGAAAUUCGUAGAUAUUCGCAAGAACACCAGUGGCGAAGGCGGCUCACUGGCCCGGUACUGACGCUGAGGUGCGAAAGCGUGGGGAGCAAACA